rnacentral:rRNA from 1 species
GUGGGGAAUCUUAGACAAUGGGCGCAAGCCUGAUCUAGCCAUGCCGCGUGAGCGAUGAAGGCCUUAGGGUUGUAAAGCUCUUUCAGGGGGGAAGAUAAUGACGGUACCCCCAGAAGAAGCCCCGGCUAACUCCGUGCCAGCAGCCGCGGUAAUACGGAGGGGGCUAGCGUUGUUCGGAAUUACUGGGCGUAAAGCGCACGUAGGCGGACCAGAAAGUCAGGGGUGAAAUCCCGGGGCUCAACCCCGGAACUGCCUUUGAAACUCCUGGUCUUGAGGUCGAGAGAGGUGAGUGGAAUUCCGAGUGUAGAGGUGAAAUUCGUAGAUAUUCGGAGGAACACCAGUGGCGAAGGCGGCUCACUGGCUCGAUACUGACGCUGAGGUGCGAAAGCGUGGGGAGCAAACAGGAUUAGAUACCCUAGUAGUCC